GCUGCAGCUGCUGUGCGGGAUGGGGGUGAAGUUCCCAGGUCAAUCGAGUUGUGUCCCUAGGAGGAUUAUGGCUGCCUCUGCUGAGUCAUGCAGGUUGUCAGGGAAGUGGGGGAAAGCCAGCAGUCACAGGCCUCACCCAGCUCCCAUGCAAUCCAAAGGGCCAUUCUCACUCCCACCGUGCCCCCUCUCUGCAACAGCACUGAGUCUGUUUUCAGACAGUGGACAAGCAGGGCUGAGAACUUGCCCCAUGUUACCCACCUUCCAGCUGCAGAAGAAAAGGGCUUUAGUUCUUCCUGCACCUGUGGAGUCUACAUGCCGGAUAUGUGCCCUCCCCUAAGUUCUGGCCAAGAGGCUUCUCAACCAGUUCAAAUUGUUACAAAGUUCAGCUGAAGACUUCCUUCUCCCUGUGGCAUUUUCCCCGAAGGAUCCCUGUGGUGCCAGGCAGAAAUGGCCUGCUUGGGGACCCAGAGAGCUCCAAGGGCCUCUCCCACUGCUUCCUCUACCCCUGUAUUUCGCUUGGCUCUCCAAACUGACUCAGCUCCAGACAUGCAGGCAGUCAAUGAAUCACAUCUACAGAGGAUUGGCCACAGGGAAGGCACUGAGCAGUAAGCACUGGAGAUUCAACAGUGAACAAGUUCCUGUCCCCACCCUGAAGGCACUUCUGACUGAUGAGUGACACAGGCAAGAUGAGCACAGAGAGACAAGGAGGCACAGGACCCCGUGGUCAUCCAGGCUCUAGGCAGUAGAAGUGGCACAUUGGAGGGAAGUGGCAAGGAAGCCCUCCCUCUGGAAAUGAUUUGGCUGUGGCUGGCAUCACCCAGGUCCCUCCAAAUGCCUUCCUUUCAGCUGUACCCCAAGACCCAUCUUGGCUACUUACAGUCCCCUUCCUCUAAGCAGCAAGUUCUUCUCCAUCUCAGCUGCAGCCACUCUGACUUCUGGAUUCUCCUCACUCCAGUCCAAGCAGUGAAGUAAAGGUGGAACUAUAAGAUAUUUGUUUGAAAAGGGGGCACCAAGUCCAGCAGAAUUGAGAAACACCAGGAGAAAUAGCUCUUUGCCAGAAUGCAAGACAAAUUUGAAUAUGGCCACCCCAACCUGAGCAGGAUCUCUGGACUCCCGUAGUUGGACAUUUCCCCACAUCCUGGUGGCUGUCAGCUAGGACUGCAUGAGGACUCCAUCAGCAGAAAGGAGGUUCUCCCAUAAACAGUUCUACAAGAGCCUGCCCACACACUCCAGAGGCUACACCUGUACCAGAUGACAGCUGCAAACCCUCAAUGGCCUAUGAGGGAGACCAAACUCUUCACAUGGAGGAUGGUUAGGAAAUGUGCAUAUGACAUGCAAAAAUGCAAGAAGCUGGGAUAAAGGAAUAACAGGUAAACCUCUAGACCAGCCUGUAGUCAAGGAAGCAUUGCUGGAACAGGGAAAGGCUGGCAUUGAAGUGGAGAAAACCCUUCUAUGCCCACCAGAAAGGUGGGAGCAUCCCUGGAGGGAAUCUUCUCCAACUGCCCUUUGCCCCAUUGAAAAUUCAGAUGAGAAGAGGAGGCACAACGUGUCCUAGCUGCACACCUCCUGAGGUGAAGAAGAGAGACAGAAUUAUGGAGAGUGAGAUGCUGAGGCCUCUGUACCACACCUGUCUCCCUAGGUGCAGGGCAGAUGACCAGGGGCCUCAUGCAAGGGACACUGGGCGCCACGAGAAUCACGAACACAAACCAUUAGCCCAUAAUCUACCUUUACCUUAUUAAAAUGAUUCCCCCACUCCUACAUUUCACGUUGUUUUCCUCCCUCCAGGAAGACUAUCAACCCCAAAUGAUUACGCUUCCCUCCCUUCACACUCCCACCCCACCCAUCCCACACUUGGUGCUGCUAUGAAUACCCCC
rnacentral:lncRNA from 10 species